ACGGGUGAGUAACGCGUGGGAAUCUACCCAUCCCUACGGAACAACUCCGGGAAACUGGAGCUAAUACCGUAUACGCCCUUUGGGGGAAAGAUUUAUCGGGGAUGGAUGAGCCCGCGUUGGAUUAGCUAGUUGGUGGGUAAAGGCCUACCAAGGCGACGAUCCAUAGCUGGUCUGAGAGGAUGAUCAGCCACAUUGGGACUGAGACACGGCCCAAACUCCUACGGGAGGCAGCAGUGGGGAAUAUUGGACAAUGGGCGCAAGCCUGAUCCAGCCAUGCCGCGUGAGUGAUGAAGGUCUUAGGAUUGUAAAGCUCUUUCACCGGAGAAGAUAAUGACGAUAUCCGGAGAAGAAGCCCCGGCUAACUUCGUGCCAGCAGCCGCGGUAAUACGAAGGGGGCUAGCGUUGUUCGGAAUUACUGGGCGUAAAGCGCACGUAGGCGGAUAUUUAAGUCAGGGGUGAAAUCCCAGAGCUCAACUCUGGAACUGCCUUUGAUACUGGGUAUCUUGAGUAUGGAAGAGGUAAGUGGAAUUGCGAGUGUAGAGGUGAAAUUCGUAGA
rnacentral:rRNA from 1 species